UACGGAGGGAGCGAGCGUUGUUCGGAAUUACUGGGCGUAAAGCGUGCGCAGGCGGCUUGACAAGUCAGAAGUGAAAUCCCAGGGCUCAACCUUGGAAUUGCUUUUGAAACUGUCAGGCUAGAGUAUCGGAGAGGUUGGCGGAAUUCCCAGUGUAGAGGUGAAAUUCGUAGAUAUUGGGAGGAACACCAGUGGCGUAAGCGGCCAACUAGACGAUAACUGACGCUCAGGCACGAAAGCGUGGGGAUCAAACAGG
rnacentral:rRNA from 1 species